CAGUAGCCGCGGGAAUACGAAGGGGGCUAGCGUUGUUCGGAAUUACUGGGCGUAGAGGGCGCGUAGGCGGCCAUUCAAGUUAGAUGUGAAAGCCCUGGGCUCAACCUAGGAAUUGCAUUUGAUACUGUUUGGCUUGAGUUCGGGAGAGGUGAGUGGAAUUCCCAGUGUAGAGGUGAAAUUCGUAGAUAUUGAGAAGAACACCAGUGGCGAAGGCGGCUCACUGGACCGACACUGACGCUGAGGCGCGAAAGCGUGGGGAGCAAACAGGAUUAGAUACCCCAGUAGUCCCUGUCUCUUAUAC
rnacentral:rRNA from 1 species